rnacentral:lncRNA from 1 species
CUACUGAUUUAUUGGUCCUCCUGCAAUAGGCCCCGGUGGUGGUGGUCUGUAGGGUGCUAACUUUAAAGAACGUCGGUGUGUUUGGAUCUGCACUUCACCUGCACGCAUCAUCACAAUACUAAUCCUUCUUUUAACACAAUAUUUCCUAAACAUGUGAUGCUUGGAAUCUAUGAUAAGUUUGGAUCUGAAAACUUGCCUAGUGGAGUUCCAGACAUGAGGAGCAGUUCACAAGUGAUGAUGAUCACAAGCAGGAUCACGCGGCAGGCAUGGCUCAGGAACAUUUUCAUCAUAUCUGCCACAGGAAGUGUCUUAAGGUUUGCAG